UCGGGAAUUUUGCGCAAUGGACGAAAGUCUGACGCAGCAACGCCGCGUGAGGGAUGACGGCCUUCGGGUUGUAAACCUCUUUUAUCAGGGAAGAUAAUGACGGUACCUGAUGAAUAAGUCACGGCUAACUACGUGCCAGCAGCCGCGGUAAUACGUAGGUGACAAGCGUUGUCCGGAUUUACUGGGCGUAAAAAGCGCGCAGGCGGUCGUUCAAGUCGA
rnacentral:rRNA from 1 species